GUCCACCCCGUAAACGUUGGGAACUAGUUGUGGGGUCCAUUCCACGGAUUCCGUGACGCAGCUAACGCAUUAAGUUCCCCGCCUGGGGAGUACGGCCGCAAGGCUAAAACUCAAAGGAAUUGACGGGGACCCGCACAAGCGGCGGAGCAUGCGGAUUAAUUCGAUGCAACGCGAAGAACCUUACCAAGGCUUGACAUAUACGAGAACGGGCCAGAAAUGGUCAACUCUUUGGACACUCGUAAACAGGUGGUGCAUGGUU
rnacentral:rRNA from 1 species